rnacentral:sRNA from 1 species
AACUAUUAAAUACAUUUAAUGUUUGCAUAGAAAAGUAAAAACAACACUUAUAUUGAAAAAAAUAAAAAACCUUUAAACUACACUUAAUUAGAAACAGAGGGAGUAAUACGGAUCUACGAGAAAAAUUUAGUGAAGUCGCGGUCGAAGGACCUUAGGUUGGUGGCUAGACCAUUUCGUUCAAAUCAAUCCCACUUUCU